AUGCUACUGUAACCCUCCCCUAUGCUGGAACCGCUCCCGACGUCGCUCGGUGCCGCCCCCGCCCCUGCGCGCUCGCCGCCGCUCCCGACGUCGCUCGGUGCCGCCCCCGCCCCCGCCCCGCCCCACGCGCUCGCCGCCGGCCCCAUCCCCUUCGAGAUCCGACAAGGACCAACAUGCACGAACCACCAACCAUGGACGCAAGCUGGAGCGGCGGCGUUAACCUGAACGCCCCUCCGCCCGCCGGAGGCGACUGGCGCGCCGAGCUCCAGCCCGAGGCGCGCAGCAGGGUCGUCAACAAGAUGUAUGGAAUUUCCCGCGUGUUUGCGGGUCGAUUUCCUCGUCGAUCCAUCCGAUAGAGCUUCGAUCUAGCCAUAUAUCCUCCUUAGCGGCAGCAAAAGGUCAACUUCCUACUGCACCUGCUCUGCUUUCAGUCCAGCCUAAUAAUUACAGUACUUCAUUUAACUAGCAUUGAGUUAUGUCUGAACAAUUUAGCGCAAGUUUACUCACCAAGAGGUGCAAAUUUUUUCAUUGCGCACAGCAAUUCAGUAGCAUGACACACAUGUCACAGCUUUUGAUCUCCUAGGGGAAACCAUGCUACAUUAGAAUUAGUACUGUGUCGGGAUACAAUUUUGUUCUGAAACUAGAGUUCCUCGUACGCAGCAUGCAUGCUUCCCCAAGUGGAUAUAUACUCCUCACACGAUCACACGCCAUGAUCAAAUCGAUCCCCGCAGCACCUCCUUGGUCUUAGCAACGUCGAAAAUUACGCCUUGCCCAUAGGAAUGGAGCGAGCAUAUGAUUGAUUGGGGAUUGGAGAUCUACCUCAACCGGCUGCUCUUCCCGCUCGUUCCACCUUACUCCACGCCGUUGAAAGCAAUGCAUGCCAACAAAGUUAUUCACAUUUUGCAUCAUACGCGCAAAAUGGAAUCUCUGAAGAAGCAUCUGCCAGUUUUGGUGCCAGAGGGGCUGAACAAGCUUCAAAUCAUCGUUGUGCGAUUCGAAGAGAAGAUGUAUGCUGCAGCGACCAGCCAGGUAAUAUAACCUAUCUUGGUGGCAACUCGGGGCAGAGCACAUUUUAUUUAUUUUUAGUUAUGGAGGUCAUACAAGGUUUAUGGGUUAGAAAUAGAGCAUAACCGUUUCCAAAUGUCGUACUCCCUCUGAUCCAAAUUAUUUGUGGCAGUUGUGACAAUUAAUUUGGAUCGCAGUAGAUGUAUUUUCGCCCCGAGUGGCCUCAGAGCCCUUACACACACUACAUUCCAGAAUAUAACCCAAAAAGUUAUAUGCGGAAUAUGGAAUUGAGCAAGUAUAUUUUUAAUCUUUUUUGUCACUAUUUUGAUUUGUAUUUUCUAUUCAUAUCGCUUAUUUGGGGCCUAUUUUGAUUUGUAUUUUCUGUUCAUAUCGCUUAUUUGGGGCAGUGUGUUUUGCUACUUAGAUGGCCUUUUAUGUAUAACUAUGAUUCAAAUAUUUAAAGUUGAAGCACCUUCUUGAGCAUGCUAAACUGCUAAUCAACCAGAACUGUUGGUUGCAAGCUACUAUUGGUAAUUUGGUAUAAAAUUUACAUUGUUUUCCUUUGUAUUACCCAACCUGAUUAUUUACAGAAGAUCUCUCUUAAAAUGUUAUCUAUGGAGACGAAGACACAGCAGGCUCCUGGAAAUGCUCAAGUGAUUCCAAAUCAAAACAACCCCGGUCAAGGCACCGAGGAACCUUGGAUGCUUCGAUGAUGACGAGGAAAGAAUUGCAUAUCGGAAGGUGCUAGGACAGGAAAUAAGUGUGCUCAAGAACCACAAGACACGCCCGCUGUUGAAGGAACUCCUGAGUUGCCUCCAAAAAGGCAACGCACAGGGGAUGCUAUCUUGUCAAUGAUGGGAAAAAUGCAGAUGUCCUUUGAUGAUGCUUUGAAGACAACCGAGCCAACUCCGAUGCCAAAGGUGACUCCUACAACUGAAAUCCUUGCUGCACUUAAGAAAGUACAGGGUUUGGAGGAUAAGGAACUGCUGAGAGCUUAUGGGAAGUUGAUUAAAGAUGAGCGCAUGUUUGAAGCGCUCAUGGCACUCCCCGAAGAUUUAAGGAAGCCAUGGCUCUUGACCUUGGAGUGAUGGUUGCUAUCGUGUUUGGUUGAUGUAUGAACUUCUAUGUACUUUUAUGUUUGCGAACUAUAAGCUUCUGCUAUGUGUACGAGACAUAAACUAUCCACCGAUGCUAUAUUUUAGAGACAUAAUUAUUAUCCAUAUCAUGUUGUUGGUACUUCUAAA